GUAGGUGGCAAGCGUUGUCCCGGAAUUAUUGGGCGUAAAGCGCGCGCAGGGCGGUCCUUUAAGUCUGAUGUGAAAGCCCACGGCUCAACCGUGGAGGGUCAUUGGAAACUGGGGGACUUGAGUACAGAAGAGGAAAGCGGAAUUCCAGGUGUAGCGGUGAAAUGCGUAGAGAUUUGGAGGAACACCAGUGGCGAAGGCGGCUUUCUGGUCUGUAACUGACGCUGAGGCGCGAAAGCGUGGGGAGCAAACAGGAUUAGAUACCCUGGUAGUCCACGCCGUAAACGAUGAGUGCUAAGUGUUAGGGGGUUUCCGCCCCUUAGUGCUGCAGCUAACGCAUUAAGCACUCCGCCUGGGGAGUACGGCCGCAAGGCUG
rnacentral:rRNA from 1 species